rnacentral:rRNA from 1 species
UACAGAGGGUGCGAGCGUUGUUCGGAAUUAUUGGGCGUAAAGGGCGCGUAGGCGGCGCCACAAGUCACCUGUGAAAACUCUGGGCUCAACCCAGAGCCUGCAGGCGAAACUGUGGUGCUGGAGUAUGGGAGAGGUGCGUGGAAUUCCCGGUGUAGCGGUGAAAUGCGUAGAUAUCAAGAGGAACACCAGUGGCGAAGGCGAGUCCCUGGACAACUUCUGACGCUGAGGCACGAAAGCUAGGGGAGCAAACAGG